CAUCCUCUGCAGAUUGUAAAAGACAUGCAGGAAAUGAAAAGCAAACACUUAAAGACAAUCAGACAGCUGGAAAACACAAAGAAAGAAAACCAAAGCAAGGAGCAGACUAUAACUACUAUAAAUAAACUUUAUGGUGACAAAAUUAGGAGUUUGAAAUCCCAGUUGGAAGCUUACCAUGAACUGAUGAACAAGAACAGCACCCAUUGGCAAAAUGCUGUUAAGGUAAAUAAGUACAGUUUUGACAUGGCGAUAAGAGCAACAGGAAGUUCCAGGCAUUGCAGAAAGAGGUUAUAUAAGUCAUGUUUUCUUCUUAGGGACAGUCAACUGAAGACACACAUUUUAUGAAAUUACUACAAAACCAUUGCUGUCUCGUUCUGGAGUGGAGUUAAGACUUACACAGUGUUUUCGGAACAGUUUUCAUAUCU
rnacentral:lncRNA from 1 species